AUUUUCGUUUCGCUAUUAUAUGGGGCAUAUAAUGGGCUAUACAUGGUUAUAUUUUAUGAAAAAGUGUUGUUGUUGGAAUGGGUAUACAUGUUGGGUGAAUUGGGGUGUUGUUUGUGUAUGAAAAAUGUCAUGGUUAAACUUAAAAUCAUGUUUCUAUGAUGUGUAUCUUGUUUAAGUUUACCUUGAAUGAAUUAUAUAUAUAUAUAUUGUGGGGCACUUAUAUAUACUCUUUGACCAAGAGUAUGGGUAAGAGGGUAUAGAGAAUUCUCUUCCAUUGUUGGAAGAGAAAGGAAUGAGUUGUGAGAAAGAGAGGAGUGAAGUUGAUGUUUUGGUGAGUUGGGGUACAUGGAGUUGAUGAUAAGAGUGAAGAAAGAAGAAGCUUGGUGUCAUUGGAGGAAGAAAAACAUGAAGGAAGAAUUAUGGAAGUGGAAGGAGGAGAUGGGCACACUACAAAUCACAUAGCAAAGAGAAAAGAUGAAAGUCUUGGAGUUGGAGUUGAGAAGGAGAACAAAAUGGGAUAGAGCUUUGGGUUGAGUUGGAAAAUGUUAGAGAUGAAGAAAAGGAGAAAAAGGAGAAGGGGAGGAGAAAACAUGAAAGAACCAUAAGAAGGCAACUAAUUUUGUAAGAAAUAAAAGAAUGAAAAGGGAUGGAGUGGUGAUGCAUGGACUUGACGCAAAGUGAGAAGAAAGAAAUGUGUUUUGGGUUUUAGUAGAGAGAAAAUAAUUGUGAUCGGGCUGUGAACUUUGUUUAAAGAGAGAGAAGUUAGACAUUUGUGAAAUAUGGGGUGGGGGAGUCUUAUGUGAAUGGUAAUUGAAUGGGAGAGAGAUUGACCUUUUAGUCUUAGAAAAGAGAAAAAAAGUUGAUCUAGAAAAGUGAGUAGGGUCCACAGAAAUUUGGUGUGAAAGGUGGGUAAGGUGGAUUUUUGGUUUAAUUGAAUGAAAAAUAAAAGAGAAUGAGAGAAAGGAAGAAGAGUUACGUAAAAAGUGGAAAGAAGGAGAGAAAGUGCUUUUAGUAAAAAGAAAAGAAAAGAAAAGAGUGUAGUGUGGAGAGGAGUGGUUAUGUAAACUUUGGUGAGAGGAAUGAAUAGUUUGGUUUGAAAAGUAAAAUAAAGUGGGAAGUGGGGUCCGUGUGAGAAAAGAUGAGUGAAUGAAAUUUUGUAUAUUGGAAAUAAAAGCAAAAAAGAGAAGGGAGAGAGGGUUUGGUUACGUAAAAAGUGGAAAAAGGAGAAAGAAAGAGAGCUUUGAUGAGGAAAGAAUAUUUUAAGUGAGGUCCACUUGGUGAGAGAAAAAUAAAGUGUGUUAAGGGGUACAUUAAUGAAUUGUGCCUUCUAUUAGGUUGUGUUUUAGUAAAAGUGGGGGUGCACAAAAAUUAAUUGUUCUAGUAAACAAGUGUGAAAUUAACAAUUGCACGGGGUUGCGACAGUAGAAAGGUAAUUAAAUGAUUUAAUUGUGAAAAUUAAUUUAUUUAAUUAUUUCUGAAUGUUAUUUUAUUUAUUUGUUGGUCAAUCAUUUGGUUGACUUUGUAUAUGAUGGUGAUCUGUGUAUGAUUGUGAUGGUGAAGUUGUGAGAGAAAGCGUUCUGUCAUUUUCUUAGAAUUUUUGUCGAACCCAUGGUGUUCGUAUUGCGAUACGAUAGUGUGUUGAGUUCUCUGCGGAGACUGAGAUUCGAGUGUCACCCUAUCCUCGUGCGCGAGGACUAGAGAGGGUUGAAUGUCUCACCCAAUGACUGCGCCUGAUGAGUCGAUAUUUUAUUGAUUUCACUUAGUUUAUUGUGCUAAAAUUAAUCAGGGAAUUGUGCUUAAUUGUCCGGUAUUUUCCCGUUUUUCGUAAUUAUGCUUAAUUUGACCAGAAAUUCUAAUUUUAAUUAAUUUGAAUUUUCUGAGCUAAUUUUUUGCAUUAUUAUUUUCAGGGAAAAUUAUGGAAACACAAUUUGGGACAUUUGGAGGAUACCAAAUAAAUUCAAGACUCUCCAUUUAGACAUUUUAAAUUUUAAUUGUAUUGUAAUUUUAAUUGUUAGAACUUUUUAGACAAACUUUUACAUUGUGGGCCAAUGUUGGCAAAUUUCACGAUGGGCCCAAACUUUGAGGGGCACAUAGCACCAAGGGUGUUUCAUCCUCCACCUCCAAGCUUUCAUCCUAGACCUCCAAAAAUUACCAUUUUAACCUUAAUUAAUAUUAUUUUUAUAUUUUCUCUUUCCUCAUAAAGUCAUUCUGCACCCCUCUAACUUUUUCUCUUUCUUAUUAAAGUCAACCUACACCCUUCUAAUUUUUUCUCUCUUUUAUUAAAGUCAUCCUACAUCAUUUUAAUAGAUUUUAAAAUCUAUACAAUUUUUAUAUAAAUUUUCUAAAUU
rnacentral:lncRNA from 1 species